rnacentral:rRNA from 1 species
GUCUUUAUGCUUAUAAAUAUGAAGUCUAGUCUGCUCACUGAAAUUAAGUUUAAAGAGCCGCGGUAAUUUGACCGUGCAAAGGUAGCAUAGUCAUUAGUCUUUUAAUUGGAGGCUGGUAUGAAUGAUUGAACAAGAAAUAAUCUGUCUUAAUUUAAUUAAUUGAAUUUAACUUUUAAGUAAAAAGGCUUAAAUUAAUUAAAGUGACGAUAAGACCCUAUAAAAUUUAAUAAUUUUGAAUUAUGUAAAUAAAUUGGUUGUUUUGUUUUUUUUUUUAGUUUUAUUUAUUUUAUUGGGGCGAUAAAAAUAUAAAUAAUAACUGUUUUAAAUUUUAUAAUAAUAAUAAUUAAAUUAAUUAAAUGAUCCUUAAUAAAGAUUAUAAGAGUAAGUUACUUUAGGGAUAACAGCGUAAUUUUCUUUGGGAGUUCUUAUCUACAAGAAAGAUUGCGACCUCGAUGUUGAAUUAAAAUUUCUUUAAGGUGUAGCAGCUUUAUAAGAAAGUCUGUUCGACUUUUAAAAUUUU